rnacentral:ncRNA from 1 species
GAAGUUAAAGGGCAAACUUAUUGAAAAAUAAGGACGCAAAGCUAUGGGUCUAAAGUUAAAGAUAUUGAUAACUAUGAUUGCCAGGUUACAAAU